rnacentral:rRNA from 1 species
AAUAUUGCACAAUGGGGGAAACCCUGAUGCAGCGACGCCGCGGGAGCGAAGAAGGCCUUCGGGUCGUAAAGCUCUGUCCUAAGGGAAGAAACGGACGGUACCUUAGGAGGAAGCCCCGGCUAACUACGUGCCAGCAGCCGCGGUAAUACGUAGGGGGCAAGCGUUGUCCGGAAUUAUUGGGCGUAAAGGGUGCGUAGGCGGCCCUUUAAGUCAGAUGUGAAAGCCCACGGCUUAACCGUGGGACUGCAUUUGAAACUGGAGGGCUUGAGUGUCGGAGAGGGCAGUGGAAUUCCCAGUGUAGCGGUGGAAUGCGUAGAUAUUAGGAGGAACACCAGUGGCGAAGGCGACUACCUGGACUGAUACUGACACUGAGGUGCGAAAGCGUGGGGAGCAAACA